UUGCAUUCGUCAAAGUAGUGGACCUGGGUGAUCUUUGGGAAGGACCUUGCGACAAGGAUGUGGGGCCCAGCAGCGGUUUUUCCUCCGCGGUUGACAAGCCGUUGCCGGAUGAAGAUCCCAGGAAGUUGCGCCGGCCGUCCUUUGGCUACUUCAUUUCGAGCAGUUCCAUAACCAACCCGAAAUUGGCUGAGAUCUUGGCAGAAAUGCUGAACUUGGGAAAUAACGCACAUCGGCACAUAGUCAUGGAGUGCAAUCCAGGUCCUGGAGUCCUGACUAAGGCAUUACUAGAAACUGGUGCUUCAGUGAUUGCGCUUGAAAGUCACAAAAAGUUUAUUCCACACUUGAAGUCCUUAGGGGAAAAGCUGAAUGGAAGACUAGAAGUGGUCCAUUGUGACUUUUUUAAAAUGGAUCCUAGCAAUCAUAAUCUGAUACUCCUUUUAAAGUAGUUGGAAUGCUCCCUGUGAAGAAUGAGAGAAAGGCACUUUGGAAACUUUUACAUGAUAUGUAUACUUGUUCUUCUAUAUAUAGAUAUGGCCGAGUAGAGCUAUAUAUGUUUAUUAGUGAAAGCCAGUUUGAGAAACUAAUCGCAGGUCCCACAAAUCCAUACUUGUAUCAUGUGUUAAGUGUGCUGUGGCAAGUAUCUUGUGAGAUUAAGCUUCUCUA